GUGAGUACCUUACUCUGGCUUCAGUUUCUAAUAUGAAGAGUCAAGCUGUGAUCUUUCUGUUAUGAUUAUCACCACUAUUGCUUUGUUCAUACUUUACUUUUAUACUUCCACUUACAACUUAAGCAAUAUCCUUGGUUUAUGCCUUUCUUUAAUCCCUUAGUUUCAACCUGAAAAGGAAUGAAUAUGUUUCAAGUUAGUGGCUUCUAUGUCAUUUUACCAUAUCUUCUUCUUUCCAUCCCAUUUUUAUCAUUAGGUUGUUUUUCAAUGUAGCUGUCUAUUGUUUUCUAUUUGUAUCCCACAUGCAAAACAUGAGUCUAUCAAGAAUUUAAAAUAAAGAACAAUCUACACCGUAAAAUUUUCAUUAUCCCCCUUACGCAAUCCUUUUUUUAUGCCUCUUGUCCAUCUUUAUCAAAAGAGAGGGACAUUCAUGCUUAUUAUUACUGAUUAACAAAUACUGCAAAGAAUUUGUUUAACUUCUAGUGAAGGCCCUGUUAGGUUUUUGAACUUGAUACUGGUUUCUCCAUCCUUCUGCUUCCUAUUCCAUAAUACAUCUUUUUGGAUAAAUAAUUUGUCAGUUCCAAUUUCAGUUUUGCCUUAUUACAUUGUGAAGCCUUGAGAUUGAGACUCAAAUUGUAUAAUGCUGCAAGUGAUGCUAAACAAGCCUGCAUACAGUCUUACUUUUGCAACAGAGAGAGAGUAUUUUGUACUUUUCUUUUCUUCUAGCAAGCCCGCAAGAUGUGUCAUUUGGAAUGAAGAAAGUAUUUUGUGGUUUUAUUUUCUUUUAGCAAGCCUGCACUAUGUGUCUUUUGGAUCAAGGAAAGAAAGUAUUUGUGCUUAUUAUAUGAAAGCAAAGGCAGUCAUGUUUAUGACUAUCUUAAGAUGCAAGGGGUAAAUACUCCUUCCAUCUGAGAAUUAGUGGUAUAUUCUGGUCAAUUAUUUGUCUGAAAGUCAGUAUCAUUCAUAGGGUCAAGGGGCAACCUUUUCUUUUCUGUUGUCAGUUUCAUUAAUUUUAGUAAUGCCACAUCUAACUCCAAAGCGAGUCUGUCUCUGUUUUUGAUUAAGGGAUAACUUCAGAAAGUUGAUCAUAAAAAAUAAGGUAUUAUGUCUUUCUUUAAUAUAUGUGCCAGUGCCAAACUUGAAUUCAUUUUGAGAUGGAGGGUGCAUAUCUGUUCUAUUUCAUAAAUUAUGACUCAAUCCUUUCAUUUAUUUUCUUUGGUUGUAAUCAACUAUUACUUGGGUUGAUCUCAUAGUUUUUUUUU
rnacentral:misc_RNA from 1 species